UCUGCCAGAAUUCAAGAGCUCAAUCGAAGUCUUCUCGAGGAACAAGAUGCCCAAAACCAAAAUAGUUCUAGUGACAACGAAGAUAUUAUGUAGAUCUUAAGUAGAAUACAAAAUAUAUAUAAGUACGUAUUUUAUUAUAUUAUAAAAAAAGGAAAAUAGAUAUAAAUAUAUAUAUUAAAUAAUAUAAAUAUAAUAAAAAUGUGAACACUUAUUAAAUGCACACAGAAAAACUCUCGAUGAAUUAGUUUUUUACUGUAUAGUUAGAAUAUGUAUAAGUAGUUAAAUCGUUGUAAAUGUUGAAAACAAAAAUAUAUUAUUUAAAAAAAGGCCUCAAGGCAUUAGAUGUGCAAAAACGUUUAAAAUUCCCAGCUCUCCCAAAAUAAUAUUGGCUGCAUUUAGAUUUUGAAAAAAUCAAACAAUAAAUAAAUAAUAUUAAUGUUUUGUGAACUUAAUUGUGAUUUAAUAGGAAACAAAAAAAAAAACAAAACGAAAUCAAAUUAUAAACAGAAAUUUUAGUUUAAAAUUGUAAAUAAUAAGAUAGUAUAAAGCAAAAUCUAGGGAAAUCCAUUUUUACAAUACAUACUAAAAAAAUAUUUAUAAAAUAUUUUAGUUUAAAGCUUUUUUUCUAAAUAAAAUUAUUAAAAAUCUUUAAAUCACUAAAGUACUCGUAGGUGAAGUAAAAUCAUGACAUAAUAAACUUAAAAAGAAAAAACUUUAUGUUGAUACUUUGAAAGUUUUGCAUCUUUUAUAAUUUUUGUUAAAACACUUACUUAAUUAAGAAAAAAACAAAAAGAGACAGCACUUGAAAUUGUUUGAUUCAAAGUUUUUAUUUGAUUUUUUAUAAUUGAAAUUAUAAUUUUAACUUUAUGUUUUUCGAAUGCAUUUAGUUUGUUCUAUUAAAAAUUAAAUUUUGUUUUUGUUUAAAAGUUGCAGAACUUUCAAAUAUUGUUUGCAAUUUAUUUUAGCUCAAUUUCCAUUAGUUUAAUCAAAAAAUAAACAACAUACUCGUAUAUAUAAAUAGGUACAUUUAUCAUAUACACUGUCUAGAGACAGUUGAUUGCUAUUGGUUUUACUUUUUUUCGCUUAACUAAAUUAACAAUGAGUUGACAUAUGAUACUAUUUUUUAAAAAACUGCAAAAUACAUUUAAAUUGGUCAAAUGCCACUGACGUAAAAUUCAAAUCAAUACAUUUAAAGAAAUGCCAAAUGAACUUCUAUUUAUUUUUUUCAAUAUUUGUUUGACAUUUAUGAACUAUGAAUUUUAUUUUGAAAAUUACCUUAAAAUUGAAAUGAUUUAAUUAAAGCAUUCUCAAAGUAAUAGAGCUACCAGACGCUUACACAAAUGACUUUAACAUUUUCUCCUUACGUUAUUCGAAAAAAGACAAGAAAAGCAGUAAUGUUAUUCAAACACAACCAUUUCGAUACUUUUUUUAAGAUAUUUUAUAGAAAUAACUUUAAUUUCACCAUGACAACAACGAGUUUUGACAAUUCUAAUCUGAAACUGUUCAUUUGAAUUGAAUUAAGUUGAACCAUCUUCCACAGACGAAAAACUCGGUGAUAGUCAAUUUGGCUAUCAAAAAUAUGAUAUUCAAUUAUUACUUCAGCCAAUUUCACUUCAGAUUAAUUCAACAUUUUCCGAUGGAUACUAUAGGUUUUAUAUAUAAAAGUUAAUAUCACCUUAAGUUACAAGCCUUCGGACUUGAUAAAUUAUCUGCUCUAAAAGUUGAGAAAUUUGUGAUGUAUGGAACCCUUAAAUGAGCACUUCCAGUUCGAAAUCCUUAAACUUUUUCGGUUUAUUUUUGAAAAUGCUUUACACACAUUUAAAUUCUUUCCACACUUUAUUAGUAGGAGUAAACAUUCCUAUUAAUUAGUUAUGGUUGAUCUGUCACUACUGUUUUCCAAGUUCUUAUUGAUGGUUUCGAGCUAUAGCUCACAGAUUGCUUGAAUAAUAAUUUACUAAACCACUUUAAUUUUUGGAGAAAAGUGGUAUAAUGACACCACCGCUCCACAAUCCGUACAAAACUGUCUCUUUUUGUGUAUGCGUUGGCUUGAUGAAAUCACCGUUUUUCGUUUCGAAAUGUUAAAUAGAACGUAACGAAAACGUCGGGAUAAAAAUUUGCGUCGUCAGAAAAGAUUAUUUUUCGCUUAAAAUUAUUGUUUAAUAAGUGGAUUGGAUCUUGAAAGCUAAUAAUCCGAAGUCUUUGUGUAGAAUUCUCUUUAGGUGUUGGCGUGAAAUUUUGAGCUGUUGAUAUUGAUGGUGACGGAACGACUGGCGACCAUGGUCGUUGUCAACUAGCAUAAUAGCCUCGGGAAUUUUGGUCAAGACUUCUAUUUUUGAAAUGCCUUGUUUUGUUUGAAAAAUACACGAUUGUUGAACAGUAAAGAGACUCAUUUCGCUAUCUUUAUUAAGGAGAUAAAACUUGAUAUAAAAUGAACAUAAGAUAAAUGAUGACUAAAUUCUUAAGUUUGUAACAUUUGAUAAAUUACUUUACUUUAUUUUAAUUAGUGCUACAGUGCAUUGUGGUCAUGGGCCUCAAGUAAUAACUUUCGCCAGCUUACUCGAUCUCUGGCUUGCUGCCUCCAUCUCCACCGGAGAUGAGGUCUGCCUCUGCUUCUUUUUCCCUCAGGCUUGGCGUUGAAUACCUUACGGGCUGGAGAUUUGAUGUUCAUUUGCUCGACAUGCUCGUUGAAAACGCAGUUUUUUAUCAGUGGCAAGCUCGUAUAACUUAUGAUUAUACCUUCUCUCUAAAUGUUAUUUUGAAUGUCGACACAAACCGGACCAUAUAUCGUACGCAGAACCUUCCUCUCGAAAAAUAACAAGAGAUCCUUUAUCCGUCUGGGAGAGGGUCUUCUGCGCCAUACAGCAAGACUGGGACGAUUAAGGUUUUGUACAGUGUCUCUUUGGUACUUGGCGUUAAUGCCUUGUUCCUCAACUGCUUCUUUAGACCAAUAAGAAACAGCGAUUAACAAGGGUAAUUAUACAUUUGAUCUUCGCGCUGAUGUCAUUUGAUGAAUUAACAGCAGUACCCAGAUAAACGAAUUCGUUUACCCCCUCGAAGUUAUACCUGUCAAUUGCUACGUUCUGACCAAGUCUACGGUGUGAAUCGAUUCUAUUUUACGACAGUAAAUACUUCGUUUUGUCCUCGUUAAUGUCAAGAUCCAUUUUCUUCGCCUCAGACUCGAUAUAAAAGAAGGCACCCGUUACUGCUCGUUUGACUUCUGAUACAUUGUUAUUAUAAAUUGAGCAAUCACUGCGCUGUUUUCAGACUAUUUCCAUUCAAUUAAUGUGUUUACGUAAAUUUCCCAUCAAGUGAUUGUUGUCGUUCUUUAUAAAUUAAUUUCUCGAGAAAAUAUUAGAAACUUAUAGUGGCUUUUUAGUUUCAGAAUAUAUUUCUGGAAAAAAUCAGUACAAAUUGUGUCAAAUUGUGCAGGAAUAGCUUUCAUUUAAGAAAUUGCUCAACAACUUUUAUUGAUUCUUUAAAUUCUAACAAACCCUCAUAAAUCAAAAAGGCUUUGGCCAAACUAAUUAUUCUUCCAUACAAAAAACGCAUUCCUGUCCUUUCUUGGAAAUAUAUUCCUUUUUUUUCAAAAACAAUACACAACGACCAAAACAAAUCCGUCCAUAGAUUUCAAUUCAAACAAGUUACAAGUUUUAUAAAUUUAUUAUUUUCACGUUUCUUAUACUCUAUAGUUUGAAACUUUAAUUCAAUAACAAAAAAUGGAUUUCCAACGAAAUACUUAUUUUUAAUAUGAGACCAAAAAAAAACAAAAACCAAUAGUAGUCACACAUCCCAUCCCGUUGGCAAACAACUUCACCAA